AUUUACCAAGAGUGCUGAAAAAACAGCAACAAUUGUCAAAGAUGCUGAAAAUAAUCGAAGUCAUUCAAUUACUGAAUCAGCAUGUUAUGAUAUGAAUCAAACAACGCAAGAGUUUUCUGAAUCUUCUCAAGAAGCUUUUGAUUUUCAAGA